rnacentral:tRNA from 1 species
GCCUCGGUGGCUUCGAGGUAAAGCGCCGGCCUACGGAUCCCCAGGUGGUGGGUUCGAAUCCCGGCCGAGGUG